rnacentral:rRNA from 1 species
UGGGGAAUAUUGGACAAUGGGGGGAACCCUGAUCCAGCCAUGCCGCGUGUGUGAAGAAGGCCUUAUGGUUGUAAAGCACUUUAAGCGAGGAGGAGGGUACUGGUAUUAAUACUACCAGCUACUGGACGUUACUCGCAGAAUAAGCACCGGCUAACUCUGUGCCAGCAGCCGCGGUAAUACAGAGGGUGCGAGCGUUAAUCGGAUUUACUGGGCGUAAAGCGUGCGUAGGCGGCUAAUUGAGUCGGAUGUGAAAUCCCCGAGCUUAACUUGGGAAUUGCAUUCGAUACUGGUGAGCUAGAGUGUGGGAGAGGAUGGUAGAAUUCCAGGUGUAGCGGUGAAAUGCGUAGAGAUCUGGAGGAAUACCGAUGGCGAAGGCAGCCAUCUGGCCUAACACUGACGCUGAGGUACGAAAGCAUGGGGAGCAAACAGG